CGCAGAUAACUUCCAGGACCAGAUGAAAAGGGAGCUGGCGUACCGCGAGGAGAUGGUGCAGCAGCUGCAGAUCGUCCGAGACACGCUGUGCAACGAGCUGGACCAGGAGAGGAAAGCGCGCUACGCCAUCCAACAGAAACUGAAAGAGGCCCACGACGCGCUGCACCACUUCUCCUGCAAGAUGCUGACCCCGCGGCACUGCACGGGGAAUUGCUCCUUCAAACCGCCGCUGCUGCCCCAGUGACCCCCCCCGGACCCUCCCCCAUUCCCCCCCCCGAAGCCAUGCGCCCCGCGGCGCGCCGCAGCCCAGGGCAGAGCCCACGCAAAGCCAUUUCCACGAGGAGCCACGUGUACAUAAGGGGACUCGGAGCUCGGCCCUCUCGGACUGGCAAUAGGGCGGGACCCCCCCGGGCCCCCACCCCGCUCCGCGUCCUCCCCCCUCUCCCUGUGUGUCCGCUUCUUCCGCCCUCGUCCAGACUGGAAACA